UGCAAGUCGAGCGGAAAGGCCACUUCGGUGGUACUCGAGCGGCGAACGGGUGAGUAACACGUGAGUAAUCUGCCCUUGGCUUUGGGAUAGCCACCGGAAACGGUGAUUAAUACCGGAUAUGACCACGUCUCGCAUGGGGUGUGGUGGAAAGUUUUUUCGGCCAGGGAUGUGCUCGCGGCCUAUCAGCUUGAUGGUGAGGUAAUGGCUCACCAUGGCUUCGACGGGUAGCCGGCCUGAGAGGGUGACCGGUCACACUGGGACUGAGACACGGCCCAGACUCCUACGGGAGGCAGCAGUGGGGAAUAUUGGACAAUGGGCGGAAGCCUGAUCCAGCAACGCCGCGUGAGGGAUGACGGCCUUCGGGUUGUAAACCUCUUUCGGUGGGGACGAAGCGCAAGUGACGGUACCCACUAAAGAAGCACCGGCCAACUACGUGCCAGCAGCCGCGGUAAUACGUAGGGUGCGAGCGUUGUCCGGAAUUAUUGGGCGUAAAGGGCUCGUAGGCGGUUUGUCGCGUCGGGAGUGAAAACCAGGUGCUUAACACCUGGCUUGCUUUCGAUACGGGCAGACUAGAGGUAUUCAGGGGAGAACGGAAUUCCUGGUGUAGCGGUGAAAUGCGCAGAUAUCAGGAGGAACACCGGUGGCGAAGGCGGUUCUCUGGGAAUGACCUGACGCUGAGGAGCGAAAGUGUGGGGAGCGAACAGGAUUAGAUACCCUGGUAGUCCACACCGUAAACGUUGGGCGCUAGGUGUGGGGUCCAUUCCACGGAUUCCGUGCCGCAGCUAACGCAUUAAGCGCCCCGC
rnacentral:rRNA from 1 species